AAACUUUCAGCUUUUAUGAAGUAACGAAAGUCUGGCACACUCUGGCUCUCUGUCUAUAGGUGACAAUAUAAGGUGUA